rnacentral:tRNA from 1 species
ACGAGGUAUUUUAUAAAGAAUGUUGGGUUUGCGUCUCAAAGGAGGAUAUUAAUCUCUUCGUU